UGACGGGAAAGGGUUGGGGAAUUUCCACUUGUGAUAAAAUUAUGGCUGAGGUGACGACCUGCAAGAAUAGGUGAGCUUCGGAGUAGAAUUCACCAUGCUCUCGGAGGCUUCUACGUCAAGAAUGCAAAAGACGCGGAGGUAACACAGCUCCCACCUGUCGCUCUUUGCCAGCCACGGAGACUGGGGCCGGAGGGUUGCUGCACCGGGAUUGGAGGAACCAGCAAUCAGUCUCAGCUAGAGCCCACCUCCCCACCAGGCCCUGAUUGGAGGAGCGUUGCGUCAGUCACUAGAGAGGUCGCUCUUCUGGGACAGAUGAAGAAGAUGAUGAUGGAUUCACCGCAUGUGUCUGGUUUUAGACAGCAAGAAGAACUUAGCCAAUAUAGGACAUUACAUGGAAAAUCGGCCAGAAACCCUCAAGAGAAACAUACUGAAUAGGAACACAGCUAAGUAUCUCCUGUAAUUGGGGAAAAAAUAUUUUUAAGAUGUCAAGUUGUAGCUUUUUUUUUAAAGGAAGCAUCUCUCUGCAGAAAGUUCCUGUGGUUAGCAAUGAAGGUUAAGCCACUUUUCCCCCAGGUGAAUCCACUAUGAGUAUCAUCCAGCAUGCGGCAGAAAUAACACCUGCUUGAGUGUGGUUGGUAGGGAUAAUAUGGGUGUAAUAAUUUAUAGUUUUAAUUUCAACAUUUCACCUAAAAUGUCAUAUGGUGUGCUUGAGUGUGAUACUGUUGUUACAGAAUUACAUGCUUAUGGUUUUGUAAUAAAAGAUUUUGUAAUAAAAAAGGGGCAUUAUUUGUGCAGGACCCUGUAUUUGGGCCUCCACUGGAUGAUGCAUACUGAAAAUAUGAGUUAUUGCAGCAGUGCUGUGAGCUUCCUUCCACCUCUCAGUACUAAUUAAAAGGGAAGACCAAGAACCACUCUGAAGAAUAAAUACCAGCCAGUAUAUAAGGGUUCAGCUAUAAGUUCUUUGAUAAGAAUAGGGUUCUAAGAACCUGCAAUCAACAGUACUAAGUACAUUACGAUGAAGUUCCAACCUCCUGUCCCACACUUGGAAAACCUGAGGCUAACCACUCCAAACACCCUGAUUCAUAUAUCCUCUUAUACCCUGCAACUUGGGCAGCCACAACCACCUUCUCUAGAAGCUGUCUUUGGCUGGUACCAUGGCAUUCUGCCAUGGAAUUUAGAAGGUCCCAGGACUGGCAAAAGUUUGGAAUCUCAUGGUCUGAGCACUUUCCUGAUAAGAGAACAGUUAUAUAGUAAUCCCCACAGCAAGAAUCAACGUACUCUCCAGGUCAUGGUGGUCUGCCAUGUAGUGAGUCAGUGCUUUCAAAUUACAAGGACCCUCAAGGAGUCAUGUAGUCUUCACACUCCCCUUUUUAAUAAAGAAAGAACUAGAAGACUGGGCAUUAGGGUCAGUGUCUCCCAGGACUAUCUCUGAGGUGACCUACAUGAUCCCAUCCAUUACCCUAUGAUAUUUCCUAUUAAAAACAGAAGUACAUUAUUGCUUACCAAUGUUAGGAAAGCAAGCCCAGAAUUCCAACUGGGGAGCAAUUUUGGCUUAUAAGUGAGACUGAGUCACUCUGAAUAUCUUGCAGGCUCUUGUGGAGUGUUUGAACUCAACUUAGUUUACCACACCCCUUGCUCAUCAAGGUAGGCCCAUAAAUCAGGAGACGCAGCAUGGCGUUCACCUGCAGGGCACUUGACACCGCCACCUCCCAGAUGUUCUUCCCCUAGGAAAUGGCAUGGUGUCUGCUACUGCCCCAAAAGAACACCUAGAGAGUCUAUUGGAGACAUGAGUCUGGACAAGAUCACAGAAGCUGUAAGAAAAAAUGUGGUUGGGGCUCUGCCCUGAAACUUCCCACUAGAAGACCCUCUUAAACCCAGACAUUGGCAAUUUUUCACAUCAGAUCUAGGGAAUUAUAUUUAACUCAGAGAAAUAUGAACUUAGGGGAGAAAUAUUUUACAUGUAUUUCAACAUAUACACACAUACACAACAUGUAUAUUGUCUGAGUUCUCAAAGUAUGGUCUGUAGGCUCCUGGAGGCCCCAAGGCCUUUUCAGGGAGUCCAAGAAAUCAAAACUUUCCAUUAGAAUUCUAAGAUAUUACUUUUCACUGUGUUGACUUUUACACUGAUAGUACAAAAGCAAUGGUGGGUAAAAAUUGCUGGUGCUUUGGGCAAUAGUAUCACAUUGUUAGUAGUUAAUGUAGUCUUAGAGCAUUCUAAGGAGGGGAAAGCCAGUUCUGCUAAGCAUGUCCUUAAUGACACCAGAAAAAUUAAUUUUAUUAAAACUCGACCCUUGAGUACCUAUAUUUUAAAAAUCCCCUGUGAGGAAACGGGAAGGACACGGAGAGCACUUCUGCCAUACACUGGCAUUUUCAAGUACAUCAGUUGUCUCAAGUACAGUACAUUGAUUGUCUCAGAAUAAACACUUGUAAAACCAUUCCAUUUGCAAGCUGAACUAACCACUUUCUGAUGGAACACCAUGUUUCCUUGAGAGUAUGACUAACGUGAAUUUUGGUAAGUCAGACAUGUAUUUGGCAGACAUUUUCUGGAGCCUGCCACGUGAAGGAAAAUAGCUGACAGUAUUUGUUUCCAAAUAUAAAAUUCAAGCUUUGGGGGAAAGUGAGGAUUUUGGGAAAUUGUAUUCCCUGCCAUUGGUUGGCAGUUUUCCUGAAAAGAUUUUUCUGAUGAGAUAGGUGAUGUUAUCAACCAGUGUGGUUUUUAUAUAAUAUUUCAGUAUUUGCAAGAUCUGCAUUACUCAGUAAACCAAGAUUUCCCAGAUGACCAAAGCAUGACUUUACAAAACCAUGUGUGAGUAAAAGAAUCAUCCAAAGAUAGGCCAGUGGAUUUUAAUGUAACAGAGUGCGAAAAGUUUAUAGUAUGGUCUCAACCUUUACAAAACUAAUGGUUGUUUAAUUUCGAUGUGGUAUGAACAGGAAUAAUCACAAUUAUCUGAAAACUCAUUAAAAUAUUCCUCCCUUUUCCAACUA